GAACCGGACAAACGGUUAUUCGGGAAUUAUUGGGGCUUAAAGGGUGCGUAGGCGGCGUGGCAAGUUGGGAUGUGAAAUCCCUCGGGCUCAACCGAGGGAACUGCGUCCAAAACUGCCAUGCUCGAGGGAGACAGAGGUGAGCGGAACUUGCGGUGGAGCGGUGAAAUGCGUUGAUAUCGCAAGGAACACCCGUGGCGAAGGCGGCUCACUGGGUCUCUUCUGACGCUGAGGCACGAAAGCUAGGGGAGCGAACGGGAUUAGAUACCCCGGUAGUCCUAGCUGUAAACGAUGAGCACUUGGUCGGAGGAUUUUCACUGAUUUUCCGGCCGGAGCGAAAGCGUUAAGUGCUCCGCCUGGGGAGUAUGGUCGCAAAGGCUG
rnacentral:rRNA from 1 species